rnacentral:rRNA from 1 species
UACAGAGGUCUCAAGCGUUGUUCGGAUUCAUUGGGCGUAAAGGGUGCGUAGGUGGCGCCGUAAGUCAGGUGUGAAAUUUCGGAGCUUAACUCCGAAACUGCAUUUGAUACUGCGGUGCUUGAGGACUGGAGAGGAGACUGGAAUUCACGGUGUAGCAGUGAAAUGCGUAGAUAUCGUGAGGAAGACCAGUGGCGAAGGCGGGUCUCUGGACAGUUCCUGACACUGAGGCACGAAGGCUAGGGGAGCAAACAGG